GGGCGCGCGCGUGUGUGCCUGUGUGUGUGUGUGUGCUUGUGUGUUGGAGUGGGUUCCCGACUAGCAGCUAGUAGCUAAGCUCGGACAGAGCACGGGCACCGAAGGCAGCGGACGCCACUCUGCACCUUUCUUGCAGCGACAGCAUCCACGGAGCCGUCGACCCCAGGGUAGCAGGAGCCAGCGGGAACGGGAGAGAGCUGGGGUUAGCAGGAAGCCAGGCAUCGCAUGGACCUCGAGCCAGACAGCAAGCGACCAUCAAAUGGAGUGACAAUCAACACAUAAAGGUGUGUGAAACUUCCAUUCUAGAGAAAGCUGGUGUUCCACAGUGACCAAAGAUGUAAUCCCAUGCGUGUCUGCUCAG